UGGGGAAUAUUGCACAAUGGAGGGAACUCUGAUGCAGCGACGCCGCGUGAACGAAGAAGGCUUUCGAGUCGUAAAGUUCUUUUAUAUGGGAAGAUAAUGACGGUACCAUAAGAAAAAGCCCCGGCUAACUACGUGCCAGCAGCCGCGGUAAUACGUAGGGGGCUAGCGUUGUCCGGAAUCACUGGGCGUAAAGGGUUCGCAGGCGGAAAUGCAAGUCAGGUGUAAAAGGAAGUAGCUUAACUACUGUAAGCAUUUGAAACUGCAUAUCAUGAGAGGAGUAGAGGUAAGUGGAAUGUUUAGUGUAGCGGUGAAAUGCGUAGAUAUUAAAAAGAAUACCGGUGGCGGAGGCGGCUUACUGGGCUCAGUCUGACGCUGAGGAACGAAAGCGUGGGUAGCAAACAGG
rnacentral:rRNA from 1 species